AUGCAGUCGAGCGAAUGGAUUAAGAGCUUGCUCUUAUGAAGUUAGCGGCGGACGGGUGAGUAACACGUGGGUAACCUGCCCAUAAGACUGGGAUAACUCCGGGAAACCGGGGCUAAUACCGGAUAACAUUUUGAACCGCAUGGUUCGAAAUUGAAAGGCGGCUUCGGCUGUCACUUAUGGAUGGACCCGCGUCGCAUUAGCUAGUUGGUGAGGUAACGGCUCACCAAGGCAACGAUGCGUAGCCGACCUGAGAGGGUGAUCGGCCACACUGGGACUGAGACACGGCCCAGACUCCUACGGGAGGCAGCAGUAGGGAAUCUUCCGCAAUGGACGAAAGUCUGACGGAGCAACGCCGCGUGAGUGAUGAAGGCUUUCGGGUCGUAAAACUCUGUUGUUAGGGAAGAACAAGUGCUAGUUGAAUAAGCUGGCACCUUGACGGUACCUAACCAGAAAGCCACGGCUAACUACGUGCCAGCAGCCGCGGUAAUACGUAGGUGGCAAGCGUUAUCCGGAAUUAUUGGGCGUAAAGCGCGCGCAGGUGGUUUCUUAAGUCUGAUGUGAAAGCCCACGGCUCAACCGUGGAGGGUCAUUGGAAACUGGGAGACUUGAGUGCAGAAGAGGAAAGUGGAAUUCCAUGUGUAGCGGUGAAAUGCGUAGAGAUAUGGAGGAACACCAGUGGCGAAGGCGACUUUCUGGUCUGUAACUGACACUGAGGCGCGAAAGCGUGGGGAGCAAACAGGAUUAGAUACCUGGUAGUCCACGCCGUAAACGAUGAGUGCUAAGUGUUAGAGGGUUUCCGCCCUUUAGUGCUGAAGUUAACGCAUUAAGCACUCCGCCUGGGGAGUACGGCCGCAAGGCUGAAACUCAAAGGAAUUGACGGGGGCCCGCACAAGCGGUGGAGCAUGUGGUUUAAUUCGAAGCAACGCGAAGAACCUUACCAGGUCUUGACAUCCUCUGAAAACCCUAGAGAUAGGGCUUCUCCUUCGGGAGCAGAGUGACAGGUGGUGCAUGGUUGUCGUCAGCUCGUGUCGUGAGAUGUUGGGUUAAGUCCCGCAACGAGCGCAACCCUUGAUCUUAGUUGCCAUCAUUAAGUUGGGCACUCUAAGGUGACUGCCGGUGACAAACCGGAGGAAGGUGGGGAUGACGUCAAAUCAUCAUGCCCCUUAUGACCUGGGCUACACACGUGCUACAAUGGACGGUACAAAGAGCUGCAAGACCGCGAGGUGGAGCUAAUCUCAUAAAACCGUUCUCAGUUCGGAUUGUAGGCUGCAACUCGCCUACAUGAAGCUGGAAUCGCUAGUAAUCGCGGAUCAGCAUGCCGCGGUAAAUACGUUCCCGGGCCUUGUACACACCGCCCGUCACACCACGAGAGUUUGUAACACCCGAAGUCGGUGGGGUAACCUUUUGGAGCCAGCCGCCUAAGGUGA
rnacentral:rRNA from 2 species